AUAAUAACUCUCCAUUCUUCUGGCUGUAAGGGGAGAAUUUCUCACAUGAGGAUCUUACAACCUGCUUCAGGGUGUUGAUGGCUUUCCAGGAAUACUGGAAGGUCCAGCUGAUUCUCCACAAUGAUCUCUGUAUCAAAGGCUCACAGAGAUGGCCUGAGGAGGACAGGGAACUUGAAAAACUUCCACUGACUUCCACAGCCAUGGCCUUAUCAUUUCAAACUACCAGGGAAGAGAUGCGCUGCUUUUCUGAUCCCAGACAUCAAGAAUCCACAGUUACUACAAUGUCAGGGGAAGCCUGGUCUGUCACUUUCAGGUAUUUGGAAGGCUGCUGGAAGAGCCUGAGGAAGCCCACAAUGUACCCUACAGAUGAAGCAUCUAUAGCAGCAUCCACCCACCUUGUGGGAAUGAGACUAGCAAGGCCUGUGCAUCCAGGAUCUCUCCAUCCCCAUAUCUUCUGGAGAAGCCAAAGCUGCAUCCUUUGCCUAAGACAUCUGAAAGAGGCACCUGCUGCCCCAGACCACAGGAGCAAGAGAUAAGGAGGGGAGAAAAGGAACUGAGAGCCAGUGGUGAUUCUGUACUUUUCCUCUGUCAGCAUAGUCCUGAGGAAAACCCCUCCCCUUGGGCUUUUGCUGAAAUGGAAUAGGAUUUAAGAAUAUUUCUUUGGUUCUAUUACUUUUAUUGCCCAUUAUUCUA
rnacentral:lncRNA from 1 species